rnacentral:lncRNA from 1 species
AGUUCUUUAUAUUUUUCUGUAAUUAUACAUAGACAUCAUAUAUUUAUACAUUGUAGACACAUAAUUUUAUCUCUCCCCAAAUAAUAAUAUCUCCCAUCUACCCUUUCACAUCUAACACUCCACCAACACAUUCUACAAAACGAAAAGGAGGGGCCCACAUCAUCAUAAUAUUCCACAUCCACCCAUCAUUUUCUACAAUUCUCCUUCCUUUUUCAAAACAAUACACGAUACAUGUACAUAUUUUCUCCACACACUUUUGACCACAACAAAAUAUUACACCUUUCCAACACAAUUACACCUCACACGGGUCCACACAAUUAUUCUCACACCGCAACAAUUAAUAACAUUAUCUCCUCCAUUUUUUUUACACAAAACACACAAAACGCACUGCCUAAGAAUUCACACACCUCACACACCGAUCUUCAACAGAAUACACACACACGGUACGUACAAAGACAAAAAAAAAUUUGGUCAAAUCUUGUGUUCCGACGUUGCUCCGGUGAAAGUUAUAGAAGCAACGCCUAGCUGGGUCCUCAAGAAUAUUUGUCGGGAGUGACAUUUAAAGAAGACUUUGAACUUUGGUGUUGUAUUUCUAUAUUUUUAUACUUGUACAAAAUAUUAUCAUAGUGAAAACAUUACUUUUGGGUGUUGGGUGGGGAUACGUUUACUUACACAAUCUUUAACACACGUUUAGGCAAAUUUAGGCUGUUAAUAUUUAUAUCAAAUUAAUUGAGAUAUCUAAUCAAAUAAUUCAUAAUUUUUACACUAAAAACAUUAUAUAAUUUUUUUUCUUUAAAAUAAAUUUUCCUUGAUUCAAUUUUUUUUUUCAUAUACAUAGUUAAUUUUAUUAUAUAUUUUCAUAUACUUUUAUACAUAGUUUUACUAUAAUAUAGGUAAUUUGUACAUCUUUUGUAUAUAAAUUAUUUACAUCAUUUUAAUACAAAUUUUUUAUUUGUAUAUAUACAUAAAGAUUUUUUUAAAAAUAAACGUAAGUCUGGACGGGAACCACUUUUUGUGGAUUCUGAAGGAUGCCUAAUACCUUUCCUUCGAAAUAAAUUGAACCCUUACCUAGAAUCUAAAUUGGUUCGUAGAUUAAAACACAAGUCAUACAUGUUAAUAAGUAAAUAGGUUUCCUAUUUUUCUGUAAAAAUUAGGUGGCGACUCUGUACAAAAAUUAAUUCUUUUAGAGUCCAUGAUGCCAUGCUUGUUUUGACGUUUGGCAAAAAUCAUGUAUGAUAGAAUGGCGACUCCACUGGGGAAUGCAGAAGGUUCUAACCAUUUCAAAUUUAGGUAAAUAUUUAUAUUUUUCUACAUUAUUAUUUAAUUUUUAUAAUUGUCUUGAUUUAUCCUGUUUGUGUGGUAUAAAUUGUUAUUAGUUUAUUUAUUUGUUUAUUGCUUUAUAUAAACUGUCAUCAUGUUUAUAUUUAAAAAAAAAAGCUGACACAAUCACAUACAAGUGAGGUGUGUUUCGCGCACCCGCAAAUUUCUUUCAAAUUCCAAAUUCUAGGAGAAUUGGCAUAUGUGCGGUGUGUCCGGAUUUUUUUGUGUGACUGCGUAGCCUUCUCAUUCGAGUUGUCCACUUAGGAACCUUGUGUCUAGGAAGCCAAAUCUUAGAAGAACUUAAGAUAGAGCUUCCCUGAAUAUAGGUGCAUGUAUCAUUAGACAACUCUAUGUCCAAAGGGUUCCAGACCCAAGUGACACAUUAUUGUAAUUUUUGUACAUAUUUGAAAAAUUAUUGUGUGUACAUAUUUGUUUGCUCUAAAUUGAUUAUACUUUAGUGAGAAGGUGUAGUCUAGCCUUUGUUUUGUAUAGCGGAUCAAUUAAAAAAUACACCUUAGCUACAUUGCUAGUAGCUGGUGUAGAUUUGAACUACGUUUUGACCUGAUUCUUGUCCUGACAAGAUACGUAGGCAACCCUGCAUAUGGGUUCGGUCUCCUCACUGUUCCAGAAUAAUUUCUUCGGUAUUCAAAACUGAGGCAAAUUUUUUGAAACAGUUCAAAGACGCUCUCCAAAAGCCUUCAAGAGCGCAAUUUAAUAGCUCCUUAAAUCCAAAUCUUAAUAACAUUAGUGUAUAGUCGGCCUACCUUUUGAUGUUAUUUCAAAAAUACAAAAAGAUUUGCUUUAUUCUUCAUUUAGAGUAGGUGUCAUAUACAUCUUUAAAAGAAAAUUACAAAAAAGAUUUUUCUUUACUAGUUUCAAGUUUCAUUUUCGUAUGAAUUUCAAAAUCGAGAGUUCAAAAAGAUUUUUGGUAAUCAUAGGUUUCAUUUUGUAUAGGAAUGUUAAAAUUGAAAAAUUCAAAAAUAUUUUUCGUUAAUUCUUUUGACAUUUGUUAUUUUCUUUUCUUUUUUCAAAAAAAAAAAAAAAAGAAAGAGAGUUUGUUGGCCAUGUUGUGCCAAAACUCCUGAGCUACGCAGACCUGAUUCUUGUUUUCACAAGAAACAUAGGCAACCCUCAUUUGGGUUCGUCCCCCUUUUUUGCCCAAAUAAAUAAAAGAUUCAAAAUUUGACUUGAUUGGUACCAACACAGUUAGAAGUAUGCAUGAGAAAGAACAAAUUGGUAUGAUGGAGAGGACCGUCUUUACGGUAAACCAUAGAUUCUUUUGGUACCUCUUAGUCGAACCUAAGUGACACUCGAGAAUUCUCUUGCAUACAUCUAAGAUAAGAACAAAGUUAACCUCAUCGUUUCAAGUGCAUUAUGUGGUGAGCCUUAGACUAGUUCACUGUAUUGCAUUGUUGAUCUAGAAUUUGACCUGAAUGUUGUUGAGGCAAAAUUCUGAGUUACACUGAGUUUGGGAAAGGAUUGUAGGUCUUUUUUGACCCGAUUGUGCCUUCCACACCCACCAAAUGACAUAAAUCCCUAGUAUUUUCCCCUUUGAGCCUGAAGCCUUUUCUUGAAUAACCACAUCUGAGCCUAUACCUUUUGAGUGCUUACAUGCACUAUUCCUCUCUUGGCUCGCCUCCUUGAGCUCACUAAGUAUGUGCAAGUUGUAAAUAAAGAUUCAAGAUCAAAGACGUCAAAAACAAAGGACUUAUAGCCCCAUAAGAACAAAAACAAAAGAUGACUUCAAAGAAGAAGGAGCAAAAACCCCCAUAAAAAAAAACUCCAACAAAGAUGGACAAUCUGCAUAGAAAAAAAUACAUUUAUUGAAAAGAAAAGAGGGAAAAACUCCAACAAAAGAUUCAAAAGAAGUCGAAGCAAAUACAAAACAAGGGGCAUAGAAGAACAACAAAGAAGAUCGAGCGUUAAAGCGCCAUAAAUAUCAAAAGCACAGAUACAAUGCAAUGCUCAUUGAGGAAUUAGUCACUUUUAUUCCAAAUGUCAUCCUACCCAACCCCAAUCCUACAUUACAAGCCGAUAACAAGUCCUACAUGAUCUUAUCCUAAGUGUUCUCGCAUUAGUGGAUACCUACAUGAAGGCCAAGCUUAUGGUAUCACAAUUGCAUUCAUUGAACUUCUUUCUGAGUGUGAGCAUAUAUCUCCAACGUUUCCAAAUUCAAAAGAAAAAUAAUACUCAAAUAGGUGUGAGAAUAAGACAUUCUUUUUAGAAAGGGCACUUGAAACGUGAGAACAAGCACAGUUCAAAGUCUUUGUUUGAAGCAAGAUAAAUAUAACUUGUCGAUACUUAGGAAUGUUUGAGGUACCACUUGAAAUUAUAGGAGUUACCCUGAAGUCGAUCUCGGUUAGCUAGGAAGGAGAUGGGGAAUUCUUAUACACACUACUAAUUGUUGGUACCAACUACAGUCAAGACACAACUAUGUUUUUUCCUCAAAAAAGAAAAUACAAAUAAUUUUCUACAUUUUCAUUCUUCACAUUUCUUACCAAGAAAAUACAAAAUAAAUUUAUACAUUUUCACUUGUCCACAUAAAUAAAUAAAAUAAUUUUUGCAUUUUUACAUUUCAACAUUCUUAGAAAGAAAAUCUGAAACAUUUUUCUGCAUCUUACCUUUCCAUAUUUCUAACAAAGAAAAGAGAAAGCAGUAUUCCGCAUUUUUCAACACAAUUUUUACAACGAAAAUACAAAAAAAAAAUUCUUUCCUCUCAUACACAUGCCUUCACAUUACACUUCACAGGGCAGUCCGCCUCGAACAAUAGGACAGGGCAGUCCGCCCCGAACAAUAGGACAAGGGCAGUCUACCCCGAACAAUAGGACAGGACAAGUCCGCCCCGAACAAUAGGACGGGGAAAGUCCGCCCCAAUAAUUUGGCUUUUACAUUUCAUAGACCUGCCAGUCGAACAACUAUUACUUUUCAAAGCCCCGCCAGUCGAGUGGCUUUUACAUUCCAUAGCCCCGCCAGUCGAGUGGCUAUUACCUUUUAAAGCCCCAACAGUCGAGUGACUAUUUAUAUUUCAGCCGACGGAGGCUAUUUACAUUUCAGCCGAUGGAGGCUGUUUACAUUUCAGUCGACGAAGACUAUUUAUAUUUCAGCCGACGGAGGCUAUUUACAUUGCAGCAACUACUCAGCCGAUGGAGGCUAUUUACAUUUCAACCGACAGAGGUUAUCUACAUUUCAGUUAUUGCCCCACCAGUCGGAUUGCCUUCACAAACAGAGACAAUACUAGUUUGAAUAUCCAUACCCUACUCUUUACAUUACAAUUUCAGUUUAUAGUUUUUGAACAACAGGUAUUGUUCACCCCUUUUACCUAUUUUGCAGGAAUAUGCUAUACAACAUAGAACUGGCCUCUUAGCAGCAAACUGGGGCAAGCUAGCGAAAUGUUAAGCAUCCCUAGCUACGUCAAGGAUUCCGGCAAAGAAACUCAACUCGACUCAAAACUCUCAUUUUUUAUAAUCCUUAGCGUCAUCGCCUAGCAUCAUCUAAAUCCGACACUGGGCAAUUUUUGAAAAUCCGUAAUAUCCUCUUCCCUCAAAAUCAUCAGAAGAUAUGACUAUCCAACAUCUCCUUAUUCCCAACUACCCCAAACAACCAUUCAGGGACAAGUACACCCGUAGCCAUUCCAUUCGUGCUGAAAUUUUGUUAUCAUCCUCGAAGAAAUUCAGUGUCACCAUAGUUCUUCAUUGGACAAAUUUUGAUAUUUAUCAAAAUUUUGUUAUGAUUCGAACUACAUUGACUUGAUUCUCGCGACGCUCGAGAUAUGUAGGAAGUUUUAUGCAGAGUUCGAUCAUCACAAUCUCCCAAUCAUUUUUUCUCCCCUAGUACACAAUCUUUCAUCUCCAGCAUUUCACAUCGAUACUGGGGCAAUUUGAAAAGAGCAUCGAAAAUAGAUUAACACUUCUGUUUCCAAACAGUCCUCUCCCCAAUAAUCAUUUCACAUGAUCAUUCAUCCCUAAUAACAAGGUAAUAAAUAAAUUGCCUAUUAUUUUAAAUUACACCUGAUUUGAUCCUCAUACAACUCGAGAUAUGUAUACAACUCUAAAUUAGAGUUUGGAUUUUUCCUUAAAAAAAAAGAAGAAAAAAAAAAAGAAAACAAAGAAAAAAUUAUUUUUUGUCGAGCAAAAUUGGCUACACGUCAACGUUUUCAUUUGAAGACUAAUACAUCAUCCUAAAAUGAAAAGGGGUAACUGUUGAUACCUAAUUUUUGCUUUUCGUGCCUAAAAUUGACGUCUUCAGGCUUCCUGAUCGUUAAAGGGCAUAAAAUGUAAUUUUUUACACCUUUUCACAAUUAUUUUUGACAAAUUAUUGAUAAUCAUCCUUACUUUAGGAUUUUAAUCAAUUUGUUGUCACCUUUUUACUUUUCAUAAUUUAUUAAUACUUUUUCUUAUUUCAAAAUUUUUAUCAAUUUAUUAUCUUUUAAUAUUUUUAAAAUCAUCCGCACACGUGCACAACGUGACGUCACAUUUUUUUACAGUAUUGAGAUGAUUGAUGAAUAGUAAUGAUGAAUAGUAAUGUAGUAUUGAUGAAUAGUAAUAUACUGUAGAUGUGUAAUUUUGUCCAUCCCUGAAUAAUUAAUAUUUACUCAUUUUUAACCUCUCUGUACUCUACCAUACCUAUCUCUUUCCCACCUAACAUUCCAUCUACCACCUAACACAAUUAUUUUUUUUACUACAACACCAUAAAUAUUCACACACUUAAUUUCAUAGAUUUUAGAAUUUUUAUCAUUUUAUUGUAAUUUUGAUAUUUUUGCACAGUCAUCUGCAUACGUACAUAACAUAACACUGCAAUUUUUUUACGUAAUUAUAAUUCUAAUUAUUUAUAGCAUAAAAUAUUUUUUAAGAUAAUUGUAUUAGUUCUUUAUAUUUUUCUAUAAUUAUACAUCAAGAUCAUAUAUUUAUACAUUGUAGACACAUAAUUUUAUCUCUCCCCGAAUAAUAAUAUCUCCCAUCUACCCUUUCACACUUAACACUCCACCAACACAUUCUACAAAAAGAAAAUGAGGGGCCCACAUCAUCAUAAUAUUUUACAUCCACCCAUCAUCUUCCACAAUUCUCCUUCCUUUUUCAAAACAAUACACGAUACAUGUACAUAUUUUCUCCACACACUUUUGACCACAACAAAAUAUUCUUACACCUUUCCAACACAAUUACACCUCACAUAGGCCUACACAAUUAUUCUCACACCGCAACA